GACGAACGCUGGCGGCGUGCUUAACACAUGCAAGUCGAACGGAAAGGCCCUGCGUUUGUGGGGUGCUCGAGUGGCGAACGGGGGAGUAACACGUGAGUAACCUGCCCUUGACUUUGGGAUAACGUCAGGAAACUGGGGCUAAUACCAGAUAGGAGCUCCUGCUGCAUGGUGGGCGUUGGAAAUUUUCGGCGGUUGGGGAUGGACGCGCGGCUUAUCAGCUUGUUGGUGGGGUAGUGGCUUACCAAGGCUUUGACGGGUAGCCGGCCUGUGAGGGUGACCGGCCACAUUGGUCCUGAGAUACGGCCCAGACUCCUACGGGAGGCAGAAGUGGGGAAUAUUGCACAAUGGGCGGAAGCCUGAUGCAGCAACGCCGCGUGCGGGAUGACGGCCUUUGGGUUGUGAACCGCUUUCGCCUGUGACGAAGCGUGAGUGACGGUAAUGGGUAAAGAAGCACCGGCUAACUACGUG
rnacentral:rRNA from 1 species